GUUAAGCGAGCCAGUUCUGGGGUUUCUCUCCUUCGGCAGGCGAUAGAGGAAAGGUCCCAGACAAGAGGGAGAGAGAGAGAGAGAGUUGCAUAUGUACCUUGACAACUCCAAUGGCCUGCCAAAGGAGAGUUGCCCUACGACUGGCUUCAGCUUAGA
rnacentral:pre_miRNA from 15 species